rnacentral:rRNA from 1 species
UGUACAAGUUCAUGCCCCUUGUAAUUGGGCGAAACCGCGAAUGGCUCAUUAAAACAGUCAUAAUCUAUUUGAUGUUAAAAGUUAUAAGGAUAACUGUGGUAAUUCUAGAGCUAAUACUUGCACAUAAUUGGUGACUGCAGGGCAACUUGCAGAAGCCAGGCGUUUAUUAGACUAAGACCAAUGAUUGGACGCAAGUUCAAUCUUUUUAUGGUGACUCUGAAUAAAUAAUGGGUGAAAGCCCAUGAUGCUGACCCUCUUUAACGCUCUUCGGAGUUGAGGGCAAAUCAUUCGAGUGUCUGCUCUAUCAACUGUGGAUGGUAGGAUAUAUGCCUACCAUGGUGGUAACGGGUAACGGGGAGUUAGGGCUCGACUCCGGAGAACAAGCCUGAGAAACGGCUAGUAGGACUAAGGUCUGCAGCAGGCGCGAAACUUACACAAUGGGAGCACAUCCCUGAUGUAGUGAAGGAAAAUAACGAUGUAUCUUGCAUUACUGCAUGAUACAAUUGGAAUGAGACGACUGUAAAUAUGUUAGUCGAGUAACAAAUGGAGGGCAAGUCUGGUGCCAGCAGCCGCGGUAAUUCCAGCUCCAUUAGCGUAUAUUAAAGUUGUUGCGGUUAAAACGCUCGUAGUUGAAAUUAACUUGGUUUUUCAUCACUCGCUUCCAUUAAAGGCAGUAUUUGCUUCGGCGUUUACUUGCCUGGUUGCCGUAGUGCAUAUAAAGCCAAUGUUUCGCCACUUUAAACGAGUGCGAAGCGGGGCGUUAUACCAUAAACGAUAACUUCGGUUAUCUGAUAUAGCGCCAAGUUUACCUUGAGAAAAUUAGAGUGCUCACAGCAGGCAGUUGAGAUGUAAAAGUCUUUUAAUGCUUGAAUAAUGUUGCAUGGAAUAAUAGAAUAUGGCCUCGGUUCUAUUCUGUUGGUCUUAUAGAACAACAAAAAAGUUGGUACUUGCACCAAAGUUUCUUCGUGCGUUGGUUCUGCUUUAGUUAACGCAUUUAUGUUGCCUAAAUGGUAAAAAGUUUAGUGCCAUGAUGUUUGUUUUAACUAAGUGUUCCAUAAAAGGCGCAUGUUGUUUACGAGCAACCACCAACUGAGGCAAUGGUUAAAAGAAAUAGUCGCGGCGGCAUCAGUACUGCAUCGCUAGAGGUGAAAUUCUUAGACCGAUGCAAGACUAACUGAAGCGAAAGCGUUUGCCGAGGAUAUUUUCAUUAAUCAAGAACGAAAGUUAGAGGUUCGAAGGCGAUCAGAUACCGCCCUAGUUCUAACCAUAAACGUUGCCAACUAGCAAUUGGCCUGAAUUCUAUUUUAACAAAUUGAAUGAUUCGGCCAGCGGCUCUAGGGAAACCAAAGUGUUUGGGUUCCGGGGGAAGUAUGAUUGCAAAGUUGAAACUUAAAGGAAUUGACGGAAGGGCACCACCAGGAGUGGAGCCUGCGGCUUAAUUUGACUCAACACGGGGAAACUUACUAGAUUAGAACACAGGAAUGAUUGACAGAUUGAUAGCUCUUUCUUGAUUCUGUGAGUGGUGGUGCAUGGCCGUUCUUGAUUCGUAGAUUGAUUCGUCUGCUUAAUUGCGAUAACGAGUGAGACCUCACUUUACUAACUAGUCGUUUGGUGCAUCUUUGACACAAAAGUCUUACUAACGUUUGCCUUCGAUAGGAUGUAAAAGUUACUAAGUUGGUAAUGUUAGCUAAGAUGUCUUUGACUCGCCAACGGACUUCUUAGAAAGAUAAACGGUGUUUUAGCCGUAAGAAAUGAG